rnacentral:tRNA from 1 species
GGUGAUAAACAUAGCUCAGUGGUAGAGCACUUGCCUAGCAUGUGUGAGGCACUGGGUUUGAUUCUCAGCACCA